CUGCUUACAGACUGGUAGGUUCCGCCAGUUUUGGGAUGAGGCAUCAAAGAGCCGUAACAUAUUGGAAGUUGUUCCAGGUUCAAAGAACUUGAAGAAAUCAAUAUGACAAUAGGACAAGCUUCACCAGUAGAGCAACAAGGAGGCGUCAGCAAAGUUUGAGAAGUUUUAGGCUACGUCAAUUUCAGACCUGGUGUUGGGUUACUUACGUGUGUGUUGCUCCUUUAUGUGCAAGUAUUAAUAGAUUGAGAUGCAAUACCACAGUAUUUGCAACUGUUGUAAGAUUAUGUCUGUCCUGCAUGAUAUGUAGCGUUACAUUUCUAAACAGUCUAUUAAAUAAGUUGUGGUUAUCAAACAAAUUCAUGAAAAGGGGCAUUUCAGGUUCUAAAUAA